rnacentral:rRNA from 1 species
AUGCAUGAAGGAAGGGAAAGGGAAAAGCUAGCUAGCGCCAGCAGCUCACAGAUUGUAGCCGCCUGCGGCAGCAGGCUUGGUCGCGGCAUCGGCGGAGUCCUUGUAGCCGGCUUUGCCAUCUGCGGGCUUGGUAGCCGCUUCCGCAGCGGGCUCGGCAGCGGCAUCGGCUGCGGGCUUGGCAGCGGACUUGGUGGCGGAUUCUGCUGCGGGCUCGGGAGCGGCUUCGGCCUUGGCCUUGUAACCGGAUUCAGCAGCCGCGGGCUUGGAAGCGGCAUCGGCAGCAGGCGCGGUUGCGGCUUCGGCAGCGGGCGCGGCAGCGGGCUCGGCAGCGGAUUUAUGGGCGGCCUUGUAGUCGGAUUCGGCAGCUGGCGCGGCAGCGGAUUUGUCGGCGGCCUUGUAGCCGGAUUCGGCAGCUGCAGUCUUGGUACCGGCUUCUGCGACGGGCGCGGCAGCAGUUUCCGCGCCAUCCUUGGUGGCGUUGGCAAUGGUGGUGAUGGUCUUCGCCAAGGCGUCCGCGACGUCGGUGUCCUUAGUUUCGGUCUUGGAGGCGGAGGAGGAGGCGGCGGCCUUUUUGACCUCCGCGUCAAGGUCGGACAUCAUCUGCUGAUCGUAGGCGGGGCCCAUCUGCUCCUUCAUGAACUUGUUGAGGGCGGCUUGGAACACGAGGAUCCUGUCGGCUUUCGGAGCUUCUUUGGCAGCAGCGGAGGCUGCCUUGAUGACCGUGUCGAGCUUCUUGAUGACCUGCGUCGCGCCGGAUGCGGCCUUCACGCCUCCGGCAACCACCUCCUCCAUGGCCGGCUUGAUGGCGUGGGCGUCCAGGGUGGCGGAAAUGAAGCGGAGGGCCUCUGUGAGGGUGAGAAACAACAUGGCGAACUUUUCCUUCGCCGUGGCGGCGCCGGCGGCGGAGUUGUACGCUAUCUUGAAGGCGCGGUCGAUCAUGGCCAUGAAUUUGGCGCUCAUGCCGGCGAGGCACUGCUUGAUCUCCUUGUUGAAGGUGGCGUCGAAAACAGAAAACUUGUCCUCUUGCUCCGCCACGUUGGCCGCUUCCACAGCCUUCUUGUACGCUUGGUUCAUCUUCUCGAUGAACUUCUGCUCGACCGUCGUCGCCUUCCCCUCCCCGGGCGCCGUCUUAGUGCCAUCGGCGGCGGGCUGCUCGGCCGGCGUAGUGUCACUGUAGCCCGCCGCGGCCUUGUCGGGCGUUCCCCCCUCGGCGGGAGUGCUGGCGGCGGAAUCGGUCGGGGUCGCCGCCUCGGCGGGCGUGCUGGCGGCGGCGUCGGUCGGUGUCCCCCCCUCAGCGGGCAUGCUGGCAGCGGCAUCGGUCGGUGUCGCCGCCUGGGCGGGCGUGCUGGCUGA